rnacentral:rRNA from 1 species
UACAGAGGUCUCAAGCGUUGUUCGGAUUCAUUGGGCGUAAAGGGUGCGUAGGCGGCGCGGUAAGUCGGGUGUGAAAUCUUGGAGCUUAACUCCGAAACUGCAUUCGAUACUGCCGUGCUUGAGGACUGGAGAGGAGACUGGAAUUUACGGUGUAGCGGUGAAAUGCGUAGAUAUCGUAAGGAAGACCAGUGGCGAAGGCGGGUCUCUGGGACGGUACUGACGCUGAGACGCGAAAAGCGUGGGGAGCGAACAGG